CGCGCCCCCGAGGGGCCGCACUGCGCCGUGCUAGAAGUCAUAGCCACGACGAAGCAGGGACAGACGAUCUGCCUGAACCCCUCCGCACCUUGGGUCCAGCUCAUCGUCACCAAGAUCCUCAACAGGUACCUGCCACGGGCUAGGACAGCGACUGCUUUCUGGGCUGGGGCCUCAUGCCAUGCAGCAGCCACCUCUAACACAAGUACUUUCGAAGGCCAAGCUUCGCUAUAGGCUGGAUUUAAAAUCAAUGUAAAUGCUGCCAGAAUAACAAGCCACAUUCUGCCAUUGACUCCUAUGGGGAAUUCUGUUUAGUUACGCCACACGCUGGUCCAAGAACCAGCUUCUUUGGAUGGGAAGAGAAAAUCUAAGUCAGGUAGAGUAUCCACGUCAAAUGCUGGAUCAAAUGCAAAUCACCUUGCCAUCACAAGGGCCAGUGCAGCCUCCGCCUAGUACACAGAGCUGAUGCCAUAAUUUUACCAUCACCAUCAGGCAUCUUUUGCAGAAGACGUAUCCCCUACGGGGUUUGCAAAAGGUCUCAAGUAUCUGGGGCAUGUCAGAAGCCUUAGGGAAAGGUUUUCUAAUUUGCUUUAAAUGUGAUGUGCAUUCUGUCUGUUGCAGUCCACAUAAGCAGCUCUGAGGGACGAAGAAACAACUCUAAAUGAAGUUACCUGUAUUUGCAAGAAGAUAUGGGGAAAUGGAUGCUGGAAGGAGAUAAUAGGCAAAGUCUCUACUUUUGAUGAGCCUGCAGACAGCUGUCCUAUGUUCAGUCCCGUUAAAUGUCUCCACUCCUCUUGUAUUUAUUAUUGCCUGUUUUUAUGUAUGUAUUUAUUGACUUAGCUAAAGUGAUUGAAUUCAUUUGAUACUGAAACAUAUGCUUUGCUAGGCACCUCUCUGGGAUUUUGGUGCAGUUUUCACUAUUUGAUAAGACAUCCUUUUUGCAAACAGGUUCUUAUAAAUAGCAUUCAUAUAAAAAAGAAGAUGGUCAAUUGUGAAGACCACUGUGUAAAUGGCACCUGUGUUCAGAUAGUCUGAUAUAUAGAGGUCUGAAUGGGUAGUGUUGCUAUUCUAAGUUUGCGUGCUGUUUUGCACUUAGCAUUUUAGGCUACAUUCAAGAUUACACCAAAAUAACAACUGAUUAAAGCAAAUAAUAGUACUGUGCUAACAUGCUAAAUCUAUUGCCUCAGCUGCAUAAAUGAGUCUUGGGCUCAGAAUGCUUUGCUAAGUCUUUUUUUUCCCCUAUAACUUACUAACCUUUACCAUACAAUGCCUAGGAUCUUUUUGCACACAAUACUGUAUAAUGAAAUCACAGAAAUCUUGCUCCUGAAAUCUCAGUCUAUUCUCUACUUAUCAGUUCAGGAAUUUCCAUGAAAUUGUGGGGUUGCAUGGCUAGUUAGUAUGCCUAGAUUUUUUGUUUCUUACAAGAACUUUUUUAGUUAAAUGAGUUAUUCAUAAUUUGGUAUUUAUACACAAGGUAUAAAAGAGCAGUAAUGUUCUGAAGAGGCUUAGAUAUUUUAUGUCUUAUCUGUAUGACAUACUGUCAUAAUUCAUGUAGAAUAAGUCGUUCCUUAUAAGUUCCUUAUUCUGCUUUAAAUAUAUUUAUUUUAAAAGGUGGACUUAUGUAAUGAUAAUGUAAUGAAAUCCAAUGCAAUAAAAAUACUUACUUGUUGAAAAAUAUACUGUGU
ensembl:lncRNA